rnacentral:rRNA from 1 species
CCAGUCAAACUAGGAUUAGAUACCCUACUAUGCCCAGCCGUAACAAGGCAACACCAUUGCCCGCCCGAUAAGUACGAGCAAAAAGCUUAAAAUUCAAAGGACUUGACGGUGACCCACAUCAACCUAGAGGAGCCUGUCUCAUAAUCGAUAACCCACGCUUAACCCAACCACUUCUCGCCAAUCAGUCUAUAUACCGCCGUCGUCAGUCCACCCUGCAAAGGCACAAAAGCGGACCAAAUAGUUAAUACACUAAAACGACAGGUCAACGCGUAGCACAUGAAGUGGAGAAAGAUGGGCUACAUUUUCUACAUCAGAACACACGGAAAAAUGCCAUGAAAAAGCACCACAAGGUGGAUUUAGCAGUAAGACAGGAUAAAUCGCCAGUCUGAACCAAGCCCUGGGCCGCGUACACACCGCCCGUCACCCCCGUCACAAACUUUCCAAGCAUUCAUAAAACAAAAAAUAACACAAGAUGGGGUAAGUCGUAACAAGGUAAGCGUACGG